AGAGUUUGAUUAUGGCUCAGAUUGAACGCUGGCGGCAGGCCUAACACAUGCAAGUCGAACGGUAACAGGAAGCAGCUUGCUGCUUUGCUGACGAGUGGCGGACGGGUGAGUAAUGUCUGGGAAACUACCUGAUGGAGGGGGAUAACUACUGGAAACGGUAGCUAAUACCGCAUAACGUCGCAAGACCAAAGAGGGGGACCUUCGGGCCUCUUGCCAUCGGAUGUGCCCAGAUGGGAUUAGCUAGUAGGUGGGGUAACGGCUCACCUAGGCGACGAUCCCUAGCUGGUCUGAGAGGAUGACCAGCCACACUGGAACUGAGACACGGUCCAGACUCCUACGGGAGGCAGCAGUGGGGAAUAUUGCACAAUGGGCGCAAGCCUGAUGCAGCCAUGCCGCGUGUAUGAAGAAGGCCUUCGGGUUGUAAAGUACUUUCAGCGGGGAGGAAGGCGAUAAGGUUAAUAACCUUGUCGAUUGACGUUACCCGCAGAAGAAGCACCGGCUAACUCCGUGCCAGCAGCCGCGGUAAUACGGAGGGUGCAAGCGUUAAUCGGAAUUACUGGGCGUAAAGCGCACGCAGGCGGUCUGUCAAGUCGGAUGUGAAAUCCCCGGGCUCAACCUGGGAACUGCAUUCGAAACUGGCAGGCUAGAGUCUUGUAGAGGGGGGUAGAAUUCCAGGUGUAGCGGUGAAAUGCGUAGAGAUCUGGAGGAAUACCGGUGGCGAAGGCGGCCCCCUGGACAAAGACUGACGCUCAGGUGCGAAAGCUGGGGGAGCGAACAGGAUUAGAUACCCUGGUAGUC
rnacentral:rRNA from 1 species